CGAACGGGCACUUCGGUGCUAGUGGCAGACGGGUGAGUAACACGUGGGAACGUACCUUUCGGUUCGGAAUAAUUCAGGGAAACUUGGACUAAUACCGGAUACGCCCUUCGGGGGAAAGAUUUAUCGCCGAUAGAUCGGCCCGCGUCUGAUUAGCUAGUUGGUGAGGUAAUGGCUCACCAAGGCGACGAUCAGUAGCUGGUCUGAGAGGAUGAUCAGCCACAUUGGGACUGAGACACGGCCCAAACUCCUACGGGAGGCAGCAGUC
rnacentral:rRNA from 1 species